rnacentral:snoRNA from 1 species
AGCCAGGAGGAGGAGGCACAGGGUUCCCCCUGAGAGCCAGGCUAGCUCUUGGUGUUGCUUUGCUGCAGGUGCCAUUUGGCAUUGAGGAUUGUUUUUGUCUUCCUCCGGGAAAGUAGGAGGGAGAGGACACAGUCUGAGUGGU